UAAUUUCAACAUCUAGUAAAUGGUACCGAGUAAUGGUAUCAACCUUCAUGAUCCAUAAGAAAGUUUUUCAGCCAUAGCGGAAGCUACUCGUAAUGCAUAGGCGAACAAGGGUUUGGAAGAACACACGUGUGGCUUAUAGGCUUGACCUCCUAGCUUAAGGUUCACAAUGUAUUCCAUGUCUCUCAACUUAUAAAACAUAUGGGCAACUUGGUUACUACUACUGAUCUCCCCUAUCAGUAAGAAGAAGUUUGUUGCUGAAAAUGAGUCUGAAGCUAUUCUGGAUCGUAUGACAGUCAGAAGAAGAGGAAUACCAAUUACUAAAGUGUUGGUGAAAUAGAAACACCUUCUUCCAAAGGAUGCAACUUGGCAAUACUACUAUGACUUGAAGAAGAAAUUUCUAACUUUCCAUCAUUGAGGACAAUGAUUCUUUGAAGGAAAGGGCUAUAUUAGGAAAUAUGCGAAGCCAUUAAUCAGUUAGGUUGAUUUAGUAGGUUUCCACGUGUCAGUAAUUUAGAGGAUAAAUUUGCUAUAUGUUAUAGUUGUGUCAGUUUUACUAUAUAUGGCAAUAAAGUUUUCUGAACCUUUCCUUAGGUGGUUCAUAUUCUCCCUCAAGUUCUUCGAGUCUUUUGUAUUCUUAGAACUAG
rnacentral:lncRNA from 1 species